GACACAGGUGCUGCAUGGCUGUCGUCAGCUCGUGUCGUGAGAUGUUGGGUUAAGUCCCGUAACGAGCGCAACCCUUGUCCUUAGUUACCAGCACGUUAUGGUGGGCACUCUAAGGAGACUGCCGGUGACAAACCGGAGGAAGGUGGGGAUGACGUCAAGUCAUCAUGGCCCGUACGGCCUGGGCUACACACGUGCUACAAUGGUCGGUACAAAGGGUUGCCAAGCCGCGAGGUGGAGCUAAUCCCAUAAAACCGAUCGUAGUCCGGAUCGCAGUCUGCAACUCGACUGCGUGAAGUCGGAAUCGCUAGUAAUCGUGAAUCAGAAUGUCACGGUGAAUACGUUCCCGGGCCUU
rnacentral:rRNA from 1 species